rnacentral:rRNA from 1 species
CAUGUAGGCGGUUAUAUAAGUGUGGAUUUAAAGGCCCAGGCUCAACCUGGGUAUGGUCUGCAAACUGUAUGACUAGAGUACGGAAGGGGAAACUGGAAUUCCACGUGUAGGGGUGAAAUCUGUAGAGAUGUGGAAGAAUACCGAUGGCGAAGGCAAGUUUCUGGUCCGUAACUGACGCUAAUAUGCGAAAGUGUGGGGAGCGAACAGGAUUAGAUACCCUGGUAGUCC